GAAAGUAAGCAAGGGCAGACGGUGGAUGCCUUGGCUCUCGGAGGCGAUGAAGGACGUGAUAAGCUGCGAAAAGCCCGGGGGAGAUGCAAAUAAUCCUUGAUCCCGGGAUUUCCGAAUGGGGCAACCCGGCAGGCAGGAGGCCUGCCACCAUGCAAAUGGGGCGAACGCGGGGAACUGAAACAUCUAAGUACCCGCAGGAGAAGAAAACAAAAGUGAUUCCGCAAGUAGUGGCGAGCGAACGCGGAACAGCCCAAACCGGUGCCGUUUCGGCGGCGCCGGGGUUGUAGGACCACGCCGUGGCAAGACGGCAGGACAGCGGAAGGCGUUGGAAAACGCCGCCAAAGACGGUGAAAGCCCGGUACGCGCCAUCCUGCCCAAGCCUAGUGGCAUCCUGAGUAACGCGGAGCACGAGGAAUUCUGCGCGAAGCAGCGGGGCCCAUCCCGCAAGGCUAAAUACUCCCGAGAGACCGAUAGCGAACCAGUACCGUGAGGGAAAGGUGAAAAGAACCCCGAACAGGGGAGUGAAACAGACCCUGAACCCGUCUGCCUACAAGCGGUCGGAGCACCAAUUUGGUGUGACGGCGUGCCUUUUGCAUAAUGAACCUACGAGUUACUUCCAGUGGCGAGGUUAAGGCGUUCAGCGCCGCAGCCGAAGCGAAAGCGAGUCUGAAAAGGGCGUCGAGUCACUGUGAGUAGACGCGAAACCAAGUGAUCUACCCUUGGCCAGGAUGAAGGUUGGGUAACACCAACUGGAGGUCCGUAUGGUUAUACGUUGAAAAGUGUUCCAAUGAGCUGAGGGUAGGGGUGAAAGGCUAAUCAAACUUGGAGAUAGCUCGUACUCCCCGAAAUGCAUUUAGGUGCAGCCUGCCGGCAGUAUUGCACGAGGUAGAGCGACUGAUUGGAUGCGAGGGCUUCACCGCCUAUCAAGUCCAGACAAACUCCGAAUGCGCGCAAUACAUUCCGGUGGAGUGAGGGCGCGGGUGCUAAGGUCCGCGUCCGAGAGGAGAAGAAUCCAGACCACCGGCUAAGGCCCCGAAAUCGGGGUUGAGUUGAACUAACGAGGUCGGAUCGCAGAGACAGCUAGGAUGUUGGCUUGGAAGCAGCCAUUCAUUUAAAGAGUGCGUAACAGCUCACUAGUCGAGGAGUCCGGCAUGGAUAAUAAUCGGGCAUAAGGCAUCUGCCGAAGCAGUGGAUCACGCAAGUGAUGGUAGGGGAGCAUUCCAUGUGCGUCGAAGGUCGGGGACGACCCCGGCUGGAGCGCAUGGAAAAGCAAAUGUAGGUAUAAGUAACGAUAAAGGAAGCGAGAAACUUCCUCGCCGAAAGACUGAGGUUUCCUGAUCAACGCUAAUCGGAUCAGGGUAAGUCGGGACCUAAGGAUAAGCCGAACGGCGAAGCCGAUGGAAGAAACGGUCAACAUUCCGUUACUACUGUAUUGGGUGAAGCGGGGACGGAGAAGUGAAAGCCCUGCCGGCUGACGGAAUAGCCGGUUGAAGGGUGUAGGUGCAGAUGGCCGCAGGCAAAUCCGCGGCUUGAGCCGAACCUGAGAGUAUGCCAAGCGCUUGCGCGAGGCAAGAUGGGCGUAAUCCGGCUCCCUAGAAAAUCCGCUAAACGUAACCAUUACAGUACCCGUACCGCAAACGGACACACGUAGUUGGGUUGAAAAUACUGAGGCGCUCGAGUGAUUCACGGUUAAGGAACUAGGCAAAAUGGUCCUGUAACUUCGGGAUAAAGGACGCCAAUCUAAAGAUUGGCCGCAGAGAAUAGGCCCAGGCGACUGUUUAACAAAAACACAUGGCUAUGCUAAAUAGUGAACAUGAAGUAUAUAGCCUGACACCUGCCCGGUGCCGGAAGGUUAAGAGGAGAUGUCACCGCAAGGGAAGCAUUGAAUUGAAGCCCCGGUAAACGGCGGCCGUAACUAUAACGGUCCUAAGGUAGCGAAAUUCCUUGUCGGGU
rnacentral:rRNA from 1 species